UGGGGAAUCUUGGACAAUGGGGGCAACCCUGAUCCAGCGACGCCGCGUGGGUGGUAAGGCCUUCGGGUUGUAAAGCCCUUUCACCGGGGAAGAUGAUGACAUUACCCGGAGAAGAAGCGCCGGCUAACUCCGUGCCAGCAGCCGCGGUAAGACGGAGGGGGCAAGCGUUGUUCGGAUUUACUGGGCGUAAAGGGCGCGUAGGCGGGGUAUCAAGUUAGGGGUGAAAGCCCGGGGCUCAACCUCGGAACUGCCUUUAAAACUGAUACUCUAGAGUCCGGAAGAGGGUCGCGGAAUUCCCAGUGUAGAGGUGAAAUUCGUAGAUAUUGGGAAGAACACCGGUGGCGAAGGCGGCGACCUGGUCCGGUACUGACGCUGAGGCGCGAAAGCGUGGGGAGCAAACAGGAUUAGAUACCCCCGUAGUCC
rnacentral:rRNA from 1 species